AUCCUUGUGCAUUGGUAUACCCACACCUGUGAAGUUUCAACUGAGGUUGGGUUAUUGCUGAUUGAAAACUACUACCAAUACCCCACUUUCACGACUUGAAGAAGUCGGGAAAGUAAUUUUUGUAGUGGCCUUCUACGAAGGUC
rfam:Basidiobolus meristosporus CBS 931.73 K493scaffold_33, whole genome shotgun sequence.